CCUACGGGGGGCUGCAGUGGGGAAUAUUGGACAAUGGGCGAAAGCCUGAUCCAGCCAUGCCGCGUGUGUGAAGAAGGCCUUCGGGUUGUAAAGCACUUUCAGUGGGGAAGAAAGCCUUGGGGCUAAUACCCUCGAGGAAGGACAUCACCCACAGAAGAAGCACCGGCUAACUCCGUGCCAGCAGCCGCGGUAAUACGGAGGGUGCGAGCGUUAAUCGGAAUUACUGGGCGUAAAGCGCGCGUAGGCGGUCUGAUAAGCCGGUUGUGAAGGCCCCGGGCUCAACCUGGGAACGGCAUCCGGAACUGUCAGGCUAGAGUGCAGGAGAGGAAGGUAGAAUUCCCGGUGUAGCGGUGAAAUGCGUAGAGAUCGGGAGGAAUACCAGUGGCGAAGGCGGCCUUCUGGACUGACACUGACGCUGAGGUGCGAAAGCGUGGGUAGCAAACAGGAUUAGAUACCCGAGUAGUC
rnacentral:rRNA from 1 species